UAGGGAAUCUUCGGCAAUGGACGAAAGUCUGACCGAGCAACGCCGCGUGAGUGAAGAAGGUUUUCGGAUCGUAAAACUCUGUUGGUAGAGAAGAACGUUGGUGAGAGUGGAAAGCUCAUCAAGUGACGGUAACUACCCAGAAAGGGACGGCUAACUACGUGCCAGCAGCCGCGGUAAUACGUAGGUCCCGAGCGUUGUCCGGAUUUAUUGGGCGUAAAGCGAGCGCAGGUGGUUUAUUAAGUCUGGUGUAAAAGGCAGUGGCUCAACCAUUGUAUGCAUUGGAAACUGGUAGACUUGAGUGCAGGAGAGGAGAGUGGAAUUCCAUGUGUAGCGGUGAAAUGCGUAGAUAUAUGGAGGAACACCGGUGGCGAAAAGCGGCUCUCUGGCCUGUAACUGACACUGAGGCUCGAAAGCGUGGGGAGCAAACAGGAUUAGAUACCCUGGUAGUCCACGCCGUAAACGAUGAGUGCUAGAUGUAGGGAGCUAUAAGUUCUCUGUAUCGCAGCUAACGCAAUAAGCACUCCGCCUGGGGGAGUACGACCGCA
rnacentral:rRNA from 1 species